AUCUACAGUCAUACCACCCUGAAUGUACCUGAUCUUGUCUGAUCUCAGAAGCUAAGCAGGUUUAUGCCUGGUUAGUACUUGGAAGGGGGUAAAUGUACAUU
ensembl:rRNA 5S_rRNA 5S ribosomal RNA